UACGGAGGGGCAAGCGUUGUUCGGAAUUACUGGGCGUAAAGGGCGCGCAGGCGGCUGCUCAAGUCAGGCGUGAAAGGCCUGGGCUCAACCCGGGAAUUGCGCUUGAGACUGGGCUGGCUUGAGUGCGGGAGAGGAUGGUGGAAUUCCCAGUGUAGAGGUGAAAUUCGUAGAUAUUGGGAAGAACACCGGUGGCGAAGGCGGCCAUCUGGACGGAUACUGACGCUGAGACGCGAAAGCGUGGGAGCAAACAGG
rnacentral:rRNA from 1 species